GAUGAACGCUGGCGGCGUGCCUAAUACAUGCAAGUCGAGCGAACAGAUAAGGAGCUUGCUCCUUUGACGUUAGCGGCGGACGGGUGAGUAACACGUGGGUAACCUACCUAUAAGACUGGGAUAACUUCGGGAAACCGGAGCUAAUACCGGAUAACAUUUGGAACCGCAUGGUUCUAAAGUGAAAGAUGGUUUUGCUAUCACUUAUAGAUGGACCGGCGGCGGAUUAGCUAGUUGGUAAGGUAACGGCCUACCAAGGCGACGAUAAGUAGCCGACCUGAGAGGAUGACCAGCCACACUGGGACUGAGACACGGUCCAGACUCCUACGGGAGGCAGCAGUAGGGAAUCUUCCGCAAUGGGCGAAAGCCUGACGGAGCAACGCCGCGUGAGUGAUGAAGGCUUUCGGCUCGUAAAGCUCUGUUAUUAGGGAAGAACACCUGUGUAAGUAACCGUGCAGGUCUUGACGGUACCUAAUCAGAAAGCCACGGCUAACUACGUG
rnacentral:rRNA from 1 species